rnacentral:lncRNA from 1 species
CAUUUGUCCCCUGCCUUGGGACGGUCCCUUGUGGUGGUUAGGAGUCUUCUGACUUCCAGCACGAGAGCAUCUGUGGCCGGCUCCUUGCUCAUCUGUUCUUGAGCCAGAGGACAGGGCUGGCACAAACAGCUCUUCUCCCUGCCUGCGCUCCUCGAUGUUGAUUCGAAGUAGUCUUCCUUUGGCCUUGGGUUUCAGAGGGAUGCGUUUCAAAACCAGAAAUAAAUGGGCUUGAAAUACUUCCCAUCAUUUUGUUUUGCGAGAUCUUGACCCUCUGAUAGUGAGAUUAGAAGAAAGAUAACAAAAUCAGCAUUCAGGCUUGGACAACUGUUGUUAAGUAGGCAGCCCACUGAAGUCAGUGCUUCUUGUUUACAAAUGAACUCAUGAAUUUUUAGAUAUUAAUGUAUGAGGGAUUGAGUAAACAACCAUUGUGCCUCUAAGGAAUGAGUCCCAGGCUGUCCUGAGCUGGAAUACUUUGUACUUUCCUGAUUGCCUUCCAAGAAUUUCAAAUUACUUUGUAACAGAAAAACAAGUCUGCUUCACCAGACGUGUGUGAGGUUCUCGGGGCAGCCUUAAUUCAUCGGCACCGGGAUGCGGUUGGUUUGGGUUUUGGGGCAUGGCUGUGUAUCUGGGCGUGGGAUGCUGAGCAUGGAGGUGUUGUAGUGAGAUGUGGAUGGCACUUAGGCCAGCUGAGCCAUAAGGAACCUAUGAAAACUUUGCUGCAGCGUGGAGGUCAAUCUGUAGCCCUGUUGGUCCCCGUUCCCAGCUUGAUGGACACGGGGACGCACCGUACACUGGCCCAUCAAUGUGGCUAGUGGGAGAGGUGAAGGGACUACUGGCAUUCACAUAGCAGGUGAGGGUGAGCAGAGUACCCUGCUCCCCUAACCCACAGCCUUUUGGGAGCAGCUGGGAUACUCUUGGGUAUGGGUACAGAGGAGCAGCCCCAGGGACCAGGUGUUGAAAGGAUGCGUGGCCAGGGACGUUCCCUGUGCUCCAGACCAUGUUAUGAACCCACGGGCUCUCCAGGCUUGCUGAAGCAUUUCAGAACACAGUGGCCCUGGCCACAGGCUUUGGUACCCAUGCAAAUUGCCCCUUAUUUCUGGCUGUCCUAUGCUCAGCAAGUGCUCUUGGGGAGCAGCCAGCCCAUUGCUUUCAACCAAAAAUAACACUUGGGACCGGAGACAGGUAUGCUUGAAUGUCCCUGCCCAUCUGGGCUGCCCCAGUGUCAUGUAACUUAUGUUUGUGCUGUCCUGUCCCACACACCAUGUGGGUGCCUUGGUGAAGCAGGCAGGAUGGGGCUCUCGCUACCUGGGUCGUGCUUGGGUUUGGUUUUAAAGCCAGCAGCCUGGAGCUGUGGAAAGAGUCAUGAAUCCGGGUUACCAAACCAUCUGCUGGCUGCAUUUUAAAAAGCAAUUAAAGCAAAACUGUUUCCAGGCCUUCUGUUUGCAAGAUGUAGUUUAAAGAGAGCUAGCCAAGCCAGGAUUUGCCUGAUCCUGCCACAGCUCCAAGUAUGAGUUAAUUUGAUCUAAUCCCCGUGCUGUGAGGUGAGGAAAUCCCCACUGAGGAAGUGUGCAGGUAAGCAGGGCUGUUGGCACAGGGGUUUCUGUAACAAUGAAAUCCACAAGACUGGCAUUUGGAUUAUUAUUUUUAUUGCUUCUAAUCAGAAAUUGUUACACAGGGCUUAAAGAAACAAAUAAUAGGAUGCAAGAACCCUUCUGCAAGGUGGAGGAUGAUGAGUGUUGCUUGAAGGUAAUGGCAUCGAGAUGCCCUUGCAAAGAUGCUCCUGUGCUUGGCUUUGGAGACUUGCAGGAGGCAACCAUGGAACCUGGACCAUGCAUCCAAUAAGGAGGAGGGGAUGCUCAAUGCUCCUGUGAUCUCAAGCCUCUUGGCCAUGCCUCCUGUGGGACACAGAAGCUGUUUCCCUAUGGGAACAGUUUGCCCUGGUGCUUGUUGGCAAUUGUGCUGAACCUCUUGUGACUGCACCUUUGGUGCUUUGGGUGUAAGGCAGAGACAAGUGAGGUCUGAUGUUGUGGAGCUCACGCUUGGACCAAAGCAUCUCCUUUUUCUAGCAGGAGAAGGUGGCGAGCUUCCGUGCUAGGUCUUGAUGGAGGCUGGGGUGGCGUGAUGGUGGCUUGUGGUGUGGGGUCGAGUGUAAGGACCAUGAGGUUUGAGCAUCGCUAAUGGGCACGACCAGCUGAACUUAGCGUGAGAAGGGGAGGAUAACCCCAAUAAGCUCACAACAGGGGGGUCAUUCCUGGGGUGUGGGGAGAGAUGCUUCUUGGUUUAGAAGAAAAGAAGAAAAAAGCCCCGAGAACAGCACUGAGCUGAGACAGCCACUUAUGCAAGAGCUGGCAGUGGGGCUGGCCGCACCGAAAGGCAGCGGGUGCCAGCAGGGCGCGAGUGGCUCUGCAUCCUCCUGUUUGCUCAGCAGCUUUCGUGUGGCGGGGGAGCUGGGUUGAGGGCACGAGAUUCCUGCACACUGAACUCCUCUGUUCCUCUCAGCAGGGUAAACAGGACAAAAAACAAAGCCCCAAGCCAGCGCCCGCCUCCAAGGUAGCCUCCUGCCAGCCACCCUGGGGUGCGCGGAGGUGAUGGGGUCACCUUCAGCCUCUCCAGGAUGAUUUCUGGAUGCUAUUUCCCUGGGUAAGUGAGUGUUGUUCCUGGUGAGGAGCGGGCAGGACAAAUGGGGCAAAGCACCCCAGCGAGUAUGGAUGUGGAUCAGCUGCCCAGCCCUGCAUCCUUGGUGAGCUGAGGAUGGGUGUUCCCAUGGUGAGCCCAGGCUGUGGGCUGUGCAGAUGCUGGUCAGGUUGAGUGUCCCCUGUGAGGGUUGUAGGUGUCCCAGCAGUGCUGAGCCCUAUUAUAGGUACCACGAGGUGCAGGGAGCGAGGAGAGGUGAGUACUGCUCCUCUCUGCAAUGAGCUCUGCAUCAUUUUGCUCAGAAAGCUGCUCUUUAGCUGUAGUUCCCCUCUGGGGCAAGAUCCAAGCUCUCUUGUCCAUGUCAGUGACAGAGGGUGAUGGGGCUGACCUCAGCCCUUUCCCAACGUGGUAUUAGCUAAUCCAGCUCCCCAGCGACGCAGCUGUGGGGCUGGUCCAUUGCCAGCCCCAGCCCAUGCCAGCUCUCCUGCAUUUCCACAGAACUGUGAUUGCACCACUGCAGCCUUGCUCAGAGCAAGGUGAGAAGGAAGGAAGUUUGAAACACUAGAGAGUUUCCUUUCAAAUGGGAUUUGCAUCAAAGAAGCCCGUAUUUAGCUUGAUGCAGCUUGGUUUGCUGUAGGGCUGCCAGGAAAUGUUAAAGCAGCACGGUGGGAAGGUUGUUUUGGUGCUGCACAUCUGUCCUGUGUUGUCUGUCCUGGUCGCCCAUGGAGCCGUAUGAGAGCCGGGGUGCACUGGCCUGGAGUAGGGGAGGGAUGUGGGGGGCUGAGGAGUGACAUGCCUGAGCAGCAGCGGGUGCUGAGCUCCUCUGUACCCAUCGGGAUCUCAGGAGGAGGAGUCAAGUCUUGGGGCCGCUACCCAAACCUCUCUGCCUGGGGUUUGGUGAGAGCUGGCUUUCUCUGGGGAUUCCCACCCCAGGCUUGAUGGGUUGGAAAUACUGCAAGAGCAGCCCUUUUUUGUUGUUGUUUUUGUUUUUAUUCUCCUGAUGUUUGUGUCUUUCCACUUCCGUCCCUGGCCAAAGCAUGUGAUGCCAAGGCAAAAGAGGCAGGCACACCCAGCAGGGUAGGGGGAGGAGAGGGGUGCAAGUGCCUUUAACCCACAGGAAAAGGGAAACAGAAGGGAAAACCCAUAGCUGGCACCAAGGAGGCUUAAGCCAUGGUCUGUUCUGUCCAGACACAGGGAGUGACGUGGUGACCACCAGAAUGCAGAGCCCCAGGGCUGUGCCUCGGCACCGCAUGGGACAUCACCAGGGGUCUCAUGGCACAGACCCCCCUCCCCUUCACCCUGCUUUGAGCUGCAAUAUGGUCACAAGCUGCCUUAGCAGGAAGGGAUCAAGCAUUCAAAAGCAGCGCGGGAUCAAAGCUUUCUAAACACUCGGGGCAUUUGGCUUGGGAGGUUUUGUUCCAUCUAUUUAUAGCGGUGGGGCCAAGCGAGUUCAGAGUUGGAGGCAAACUUUUCCGAAGCUGGGGGACGUUUGGAGCGGGAGGGGGAAAGGGAACUCGGCCAGGCCCAUCUUCAACAUGCAUUGACUCCUUCCCUUAGGUAUGUGUUGCUCUCCAUGACACACUAACAACAAGCCUGCAUAGCAGAGCCUGGCUGAGGCUGCAAGGAUUGAGGCAAAAAUGUGAAUUGGCUGGGAAUGGGAACAUGAAAUAAAGAGCUUCCAAACAGCAAAGACAUGGUGUUUGAAAGUGAAAAUUGUUUCCUUACCAACGUGCUUUCACCCUUGGGUCAACAUCCUUCAAUUAUAAGUAUGCUUGUGUUGUUUUCCAGGGGAAAGCUGGUGAGGAUUCCAGGGCAAAAUAAGGCUAAGGGUAUCCUGAAGCAUAUGCUAUGUUUAUAAAUGGAGGGGAGGGAUCUUCUCAUCUACAAGAAGAAAUUUUUGUGGUGUAAUUGAAGAACAUGUUGGUUUUCUGUGCUACACCCUGUAGGCAAAAUCAGGCUUUAACUGCAAGCAAGCAAACCAAUGAGCAUACAGGUGAGAUUGUGCAAUGUCCGCGCCAUCGCCCUUGCGGGGCAUGCAGGCAAUGGCUGGGAUUUUCCUGCAUCUACCAAGUGAGUGGUGCUGGCACUGGUUAAUACUGAGGGGCUGGGGAAGUAAUCCUUCGGGGAGUGCUGCAUGAUCUCCGAUGGUUUUAGAGAGAGAAUUCUGUGAGCUGGGAGGUAGGAGCGACAGCAGUGAUACAAAGCUCGUUGGGAUAGAACACGAGGUCUUUGAGCUAGAGGAGCAAUAACAUACAAUAAAGUAGGACUUUGAUGUCUGGAGGUGGCAGAGAAGAGUCACCACCUGAAUGCUGGCAUGCAAAAGGCAGAUGCACAUUUAGAAUAUCAGGUUGGAAAAGGCCACUAAAAUCAAGUCCGACUGCCAACCCAUCACCACCAUGCCCAUUAACUAUGGCCUUCCGUGCCACAUCUAUGUAUUUCUUGGGGAUUCUCGUGGUGGUGUCUCUCCGUUGACAUUAAAACCUCCAGCUCAGGACCCACCAAGAUGUCUGCUGGAACAGAGGGUGCAGAUCUGACCGUCCUUAUUCCAGAAAAUGUCAGCUGGGGGCGAGCACAUUGCAAAUGAAGGUGCAGGAGGCAUGAGGACAGGAGGUGAUUGUCCCUCAGCUUUCCAGCUUGGCAGCGGCAGGCGCUGAGCCCAGUUUCCACCCCUGCCAGGCAGAAGAAAAUGUUCUUCUCCUAUUUGCCUCCUAAUGAUGAUGGUGACGGUGCUCCUCUUGCAUUGUGUUUGUCCUUAAUGCUGAAAGACGGUUCUUGUGCUUGGUGCUAGUGUUCCCAGCCCUUGGCUUGGGCAGGGUAUGCCAGCCAACUGGACAACCAUUCGUUCCUCUGAGAGCCUGUCUGUUCUGCAAUUAACAGACAAAAUGCCCACCACUGUGGCUGGAAAAAAAAAAGUUUUAAUUAAAAUCCUUUGGUGUUGGCCUUGACCGGACUGGAGAGUGAACAGGAGGAGGGCAGGAGGCCCAGGUCAUGUCUUGGGCCACCCCAGCAGAGCAUCCCUGAGCUGGGGCUGAACACAGGGCAGGGCCUGGGUUUUAAUUGCUUUUUUUUCUUUUUUUCCUAUUUUCCCUUGGGUGACCCAUCCAAGGGAUGGUCACAAGCAGAUAGGAUACUGCCAACCGUCCUCAGGUCCUUUGUGUCUUAAUGAAGAGCCAUGAAUAGGAGUUCACAUCACACACAAACGAAGACACCUCACCCUUUUCCCUAAUGAGUGUCACUCUUAAAGUGCUUUUGUCAUGGGCUUUGCUUGGCUUGUAGAGGUGCCUGGGGCCCUGUCUCCUAGGCUGCUGUCACCUUCCCCAUCUCCCAUGGCCAGCAGGAAGGUGACAUGGCAGACACCGUUUCAGGACCAGUAAUGUGUGUGGUUCCCCAACUCCACUGCUACAGUUUCCUUCCUCUGGGGAAAGCCCAGGAAAUUCGUGGAAGCAUCACCAAAUAAGCCUCAGGAAGCAAGAAGGGUCUCCAUGUCAUCCUGCUUGCUUACGUGAUAGCCAGCUUUCUGGGCCUUUUUCUGUUCCCUCUGCUCAGGACAGAGUGAUGGAUUUUCUGGUUCUCAUGCUAGUAAGUAAGAAAGAUUAAUCAUAUCAUCACUAAGGUUGGAAGGGACUAUUAAGAUCAUCUAGUCUAACUCCAACCCAUCCCCAUCAUGCCCACUAAGCUACGUCCCUUGUGCAGCAUGGAGUGGCCAUCCAGCACUGUGGCAAGGGAAAGGGUUUUACUUUUCAUUUGGGCUCUGGCCUGGAGAAAUCACUGGUCUUAUACAAGUUUAAAAACAAAAAUAGAUCCUCUUCUGCUGCCGUUUAAAUGCUUCUCUCUUGCCUUAGGUUGUGAUUUUGUGCUGUGCAGUCUGGGCACCGCGGGAGCUCCUCAGCCCAUGCUGGUGAAGGAGGUGACAUCAAGGCAAACCGAGAGCUUGGUGGAUGGAUUUGGGAUGGAUUGCUGCAUGGCACAGCACGAGCCCAUCCCUCAGAGCCAGGACCAUUCCCUGUCGGUGGCAAUGUCCAACCCCCAUGAGUGGGAUAUGGCACGGAGGAUGGCAGCUCAGGGCAUGGCAGCAGCAGGGGCAUCCCAGGCGUUUGGCAGCCGAACGGUGAUUUGGGCAUGCGGGGGAAGAGGAGCACAACUUUGGGCAUCCCAACACGAGGGCUGAUAUUUGGCCCCUGGCCGGGAACACGGACCACCUCGCCAAGCUGCUGUUCCCGUUUGUCAUUCAGCGCUAAGGAAAUCUGCGCCAUUCUCUGUCAUCCUCCCCAUCCCGGAGGAUAAUUGAUGCUAACGUCAUUUCAGCUCGGUCC